rnacentral:rRNA from 1 species
GAUGAACGCUAGCGGCAGGCCUAACACAUGCAAGUCGAGGGGUAACUAGAGUGAUAGCAAUAUUACUUUGGCUAGACCGGCGCACGGGUGCGUAACACGUAUGCAACCUACCUUAUACUGGGGAAUAACUUCGAGAAAUCGGCGCUAAUACCCCAUAACAUUGCGAAGAGGCAUCUCUUUGCAAUUAAAGCUCCGGCGGUAUAAGAUGGGCAUGCGUCCAAUUAGCUAGUUGGUGAGGUAACGGCUCACCAAGGCUACGAUUGGUAGGGGUUCUGAGAGGAUGAUCCCCCACACGGGGACUGGGACACGGACCAGACUCCUACGGGAGGCAGCAGUGAGGAAUAUUGCGGAAUGGACGAAAGUCUGACGCAGCCAUGCCGCGUGCAGGAUGACGGCCCUAUGGGUUGUAAACUGCUUUUGUACGGGAAUAAACCCUUCUACGUGUAGGAGGCUGAAGGUACCGUAAGAAUAAGCACCGGCUAACUCCGUGCCAGCCGCCGCCGUAACAC